rnacentral:rRNA from 1 species
UACGAGGGGGGCGAGCGUUGUUCGGAAUUAUUGGGCGUAAAGAGCUCGUAGGUGGUUUGUCGCGUUGUUCGUGAAAUUCCCUGGCUUAACUGGGGGCGUGCGGGCGAUACGGGCAGACUGGAGUACUGCAGGGGAGACUGGAAUUCCUGGUGUAGCGGUGGAAUGCGCAGAUAUCAGGAGGAACACCGGUGGCGAAGGCGGGUCUCUGGGCAGUAACUGACGCUGAGGAGCGAAAGCGUGGGGAGCGAACAGG